UACGUAGGGGGCUAGCGUUGUCCGGAAUCAUUGGGCGUAAAGAGCGUGUAGGCGGCUCGGUAAGUCCGCUGUGAAAGUCCAGGGCUCAACCCUGGAAUGCCAGUGGAAACUGUCGAGCUAGAGUCCGGAAGAGGCGAGUGGAAUUCCUGGUGUAGCGGUGAAAUGCGCAGAUAUCAGGAGGAACACCCAUGGCGAAGGCAGCAUACUGGCCGACCACUGACGCUGAGGCGCGAAAGCGUGGGUAGCAAACAGG
rnacentral:rRNA from 1 species